AGUGGCGGACGGGUGAGUAACGCGUGAGAAUCUGCCUUGGGGUCGGGGACAACCACUGGAAACGGUGGCUAAUACCGGAUAAGCCGAUUGGUGAAAGAUUUAUUGCCCGAAGAGGAGCUCGCGUCUGAUUAGCUAGUUGGUGAGGUAAGAGCUCACCAAGGCAGCGAUCAGUAGCUGGUCUGAGAGGACGAUCAGCCACACUGGGACUGAGACACGGCCCAGACUCCUACGGGAGGCAGCGGUGGGGAAUUUUCCGCAAUGGGCGAAAGCCUGACGGAGCAAGACCGCGUGAGGGAGGAAGGCUCUUGGGUUGUAAACCUCUUUUCUCAGGGAAGAAGCUCUGACGGUACCUGAGGAAUCAGCCUCGGCUAACUCCGUGCCAGCAGCCGCGGUAAUACGGAGGAGGCAAGCGUUAUCCGGAAUUAUUGGGCGUAAAGCGUCCGCAGGUGGCGAUUCAAGUCUGCUGUCAAAGCACGGGGCUUAACUCCGUAAAGGCAGUGGAAACUGAAUAGCUAGAGUGCCGUAGGGGUAGAGGGAAUUCCCGGUGUAGCGGUGAAAUGCGUAGAGAUCGGGAAGAACAUCGGUGGCGAAAGCGCUCUACUGGACGGCAACUGACACUCAGGGACGAAAGCUAGGGGAGCGAAUGGGAUUAGAUACCCC
rnacentral:rRNA from 1 species